CAGAGGUCACAUUCCACAUGGAACUCCCUGGUCAAAUGCUAGCAACAAAGAGGAAAGAGAAGUGGAUCUGAGCUGUAGCCCAUGGUCAAAUACCAACCUCUGCAUCUGUGACCAGAUGGAUUUGGGUAAACCCAGCAAAGAGAAUACUGUAUCACUCUAUCAGGUGAUGUUGUGGGUGUUUCUCUAAGAUUCAUCAUAGAUUCCAUCACAAAUUUUAUCUUCACUUGUCAUCUGAGGGUUCUCUCAUUGGCCUCAGAUUUGCCAAGCAGGCUAGGCAAGCCAGCCAGUGAGCCUCAAGGAUCCACCCAUCUCAACCUCCCCAGAGCUGGGACUACAAGUGCUCAUCACUAUGCCCAGCUUUUCAGGCCAUUGAUUCAGCUGCAAAGGCGAUUGCCCAAGAAGGAUAUGAAUAUUGCCUAAUACAUCGACAUGAAAAAAAAAAGUGCUGAACUUUGCAACGAUGGUGAGGAGUCUAUAAAAGAAAAUUCGGGUGGUAAAAUACCAAAGUCUGCCUGUCACAUUUUAUUAUAAGCAGUUCAAAUAACGCUGAUCAAUCUCAUCCAUGUGGAGCCAAACAUUAUCUCUCAUUGUCAGGCAGGCAGCAUGAGACAUUUUCUAUAUCAGCCAGUGUGCAGAGCUUUGGCUGGGCCACCAUUUUGGGAUCUCCUGGUGAAGUGAGACCACGAUGGAAGGGUCCAGAGAACUUCUUUAUGCUGAAGAGUAACACUAGCCUCUCACUCACUGUAUCUACACAUUCAGAAGAGUCAAGUCCCACUGCAGAAGGCCCCAUAUGUUCAGGACUAAGCCACUCAGGGUGCCAUACCCUGUUUCUUCCUCUGUAUACCCCUUACCUGGUAUUGGUCAUGGGCACUGGUUUCUCUCUAACAUCACUUUGAAGCCCGAUUCUGUGCCAAAUGAGAGAACCCAUGUCAUAAUUAAAGUGCUGGCACAUACCAGCAGCAUGUACGACCAGAAACCUUUCUCUCUCCUACGUGGACCCUGUUUGUGGCAGAACCCUACAGUUACAUAGAAAGAGACUGGUGACUCCAGUUCAAGGUCAUGAUUUAAGUUCUACCUUUGGAUGAAGGAUAGAGGAUCUCUCCUGCAUGUGGGACUCCCUUGGGCAGGGAAGCUCUCUUCCCUGAAUUGCUCCUGAGCAUGGGGCAUGUUACACUCAUGGGCCCUGGCAGCAUUCAGUACAACACCUAUACAUGAACUCUCACUGUUACAGCCCUUCCCCACCAGCCAGUUUUCUGUGUGCAUUAAGCGACACUCUGGACUGCCAACAGAAGGAAGAGUGUCCUGGGUGUUGGAAUGUUUCUCAUACAUUAUCACAUGGAACCCUCCCCAUCACCACAGAAGGAAAUGAAUAUUCUCAUUUUCAGACGUGAAAAACUCAAAGCCUAAACUGUUAAAUAAUUUACCCAGGGGAGUAGCAGCAAGGGAGCGAAUGCCUGAUUGUUUCUAAGCAUCAUAGUCUACUUGGUGCAUCACCAUGCCUUUGAGACCCACCAGGAGGCUCUGGCCUGCAUACUUCAGCACCUCACGCUUGUAAUCUCUGCCUAUGCCAAUAACCAAUCACACAGCAAGACUGGCAGUCACACGUGCUCAGAACUGCGUAUUAAUUCAUGUGCCCAUGCAAUGAACCAUCAACCCCAUUUCCCGCCAUCUUCUGCAAGACCCCCCCCCCCAGGGGAAGUGUUCAAAGCCUGUCUCUGCUAAGCUGACUUCACAUUCUGGUUCAGCAAAGAAUGUCUUGGUUACUCUUGGGGCUACUGUGGUUUCAACACAAAUUAUGGAGCUAAAGAGAUGACUCGGUGGUUAAGAGCACAAGCUGUAUUUGCAGAGGACCCAAGUUUGGUUCCCAGCACCCAUGUUGGAUGGCUCACAACCACCUGUAACUCCAGAUCCAGGAGUUAUGAUGCCCUCCUUUGGUCUCUGAGAUUGCCUUGUGUGCACAUACCCCCACAUGCACUCAUAUAUGUAGUUAAAUAUAAAGCUAAAUGUUAAAAAAAAAA